rnacentral:rRNA from 1 species
AGAGUUUGAUCAUGGCUCAGGACGAACGCUGGCGGCGUGCCUAACACAUGCAAGUGGAGCGACGAACCGGGCUUCGGCCCGGGGCAAAGCCGCGAACGGGUGAGUAACACGUGGGUAACCUGCCCUGAUGAUCGGGACAACCCGAGGAAACUCGGGCUAAUACCGAAUGUGCCCUCCGGCCGUAAGGCCUCUGGGGAAAGGAAGCUUCGGCCUCCGCAUCGGGAUGGGCCCGCGGCCCAUUAGCUUGUUGGUGAGGUAACGGCUCACCAAGGCUACGAUGGGUAGCUGGUCUGAGAGGACGAUCAGCCACACUGGGACUGAGACACGGCCCAGACUCCUACGGGAGGCAGCAGUGGGGAAUCUUGCGCAAUGCGCGAAAGCGUGACGCAGCAACGCCGCGUGGGGGAAGAAGGCCUUCGGGUUGUAAACCCCUUUCAGUUGGGACGAAGCUUCGGCGGUGAAUAGCCGCCUGGAGUGACGGUACCUUCAGAAGAAGCCCCGGCUAACUACGUGCCAGCAGCCGCGGUAAUACGUAGGGGGCAAGCGUUGUCCGGAAUCAUUGGGCGUAAAGAGCGUGUAGGCGGCUUGGUAAGUCCGCUGUGAAAGUCCAGGGCUCAACCCUGGAAAGCCGGUGGAAACUGUCAAGCUCGAGUCCGGAAGAGGCGAGUGGAAUUCCUGGUGUAGCGGUGAAAUGCGCAGAUAUCAGGAGGAACACCAAUGGCGANNNCAGCUCGCUGGGACGGUACUGACGCUGAGACGCGAAAGCGU